rnacentral:rRNA from 1 species
AGUGAACGCUGGCGGUAGGCCUAACACAUGCAAGUCGAACGGCAGCACAGUAAGAGCUUGCUCUUACGGGUGGCGAGUGGCGGACGGGUGAGGAAUACAUCGGAAUCUACUUUUUCGUGGGGGAUAACGUAGGGAAACUUACGCUAAUACCGCAUACGACCUACGGGUGAAAGCAGGGGAUCUUCGGACCUUGCGCGAUUGAAUGAGCCGAUGUCGGAUUAGCUAGUUGGCGGGGUAAAGGCCCACCAAGGCGACGAUCCGUAGCUGGUCUGAGAGGAUGAUCACCCACACUGGAAGUGAGACACGGUCCAGACUCCUACGGGAGGCAGCAGUGGGGAAUAUUGGACAAUGGGCUCAAGCCUAAUCCAGCCAUACCGCGUGGGUGAAGAAGGCCUUCGGGUUGUAAAGCCCUUUUGUUGGGAAAGAAAAGCAGCAGGUUAAUACCCCGCUGUUCUGACGGUACCCAAAGAAUAAGCACCGGCUAACUUCGUG